rnacentral:rRNA from 1 species
AUUGAACGCUGGCGGCAUGCCUUACACAUGCAAGUCGAACGGUAACAGGGAGCUUGCUCCGCUGACGAGUGGCGAACGGGUGAGUAAUGUAUCGGAACGUACCUUUCAGUGGGGGAUAACGUAGCGAAAGUUACGCUAAUACCGCAUAUUCUGUGAGCAGGAAAGCAGGGGAUCGCAAGACCUUGCGCUGAUUGAGCGGCCGAUAUCAGAUUAGCUAGUUGGUGAGGUAAAGGCUCACCAAGGCGACGAUCUGUAGCGGGUCUGAGAGGAUGAUCCGCCACACUGGAACUGAGACACGGUCCAGACUCCUACGGGAGGCAGCAGUGGGGAAUUUUGGACAAUGGGGGCAACCCUGAUCCAGCCAUGCCGCGUGAGUGAAGAAGGCCU